GACGAACGCUGGCGGCGUGCUUAACACAUGCAAGUCGAACGAAGAGCGAUGGAAGCUUGCUUCUAUCAAUCUUAGUGGCGAACGGGUGAGUAACGCGUAAUCAACCUGCCCUUCAGAGGGGGACAACAGUUGGAAACGACUGCUAAUACCGCAUACGAUCUAAUCUCGGCAUCGAGGAUAGAUGAAAGGUGGCCUCUACAUGUAAGCUAUCACUGAAGGAGGGGAUUGCGUCUGAUUAGCUAGUUGGAGGGGUAACGGCCCACCAAGGCGAUGAUCAGUAGCCGGUCUGAGAGGAUGAACGGCCACAUUGGGACUGAGACACGGCCCAGACUCCUACGGGAGGCAGCAGUGGGGAAUCUUCCGCAAUGGACGAAAGUCUGACGGAGCAACGCCGCGUGAGUGAUGACGGCCUUCGGGUUGUAAAGCUCUGUUAAUCGGGACGAAAGGCCUUCUUGCGAACAGUUAGAAGGAUUGACGGUACCGGAAUAGAAAGCCACGGCUAACUACGU
rnacentral:rRNA from 1 species